UACGUAAGAGACUAGUGUUAAUCAUCAUAAAUAGGUUUAAAGGGUACUCAGACGGAAAAUAUUCGCCCUAAAAAAGGGACAAUUUUUCUAGAGUUUUAUGUAAAGAAGAUCGUACUCUAGAGUGUAGAGAUCAUAUUUGUUGAUACCUAGGGGAGCUGGUAAAGGCGAAGGCAAAUCUUUUUUAUGAAAAAACUGACGCGA
rnacentral:rRNA from 1 species